rnacentral:rRNA from 1 species
UACGAAGGGGGGCUAGCGUUGCUCGGAAUCACUGGGCGUAAAGCGCACGUAGGCGGAUUGUUAAGUCAGGGGUGAAAUCCUGGAGCUCAACUCCAGAACUGCCUUUGAUACUGGCGAUCUCGAGUCCGGGAGAGGUGAGUGGAACUGCGAGUGUAGAGGUGAAAAUUCGUAGAUAUUCGCAAGAACACCAGUGGUGAAGGCGGCUCACUGGCCCGGUACUGACGCUGAGGUGCGAAAAGCGUGGGGGAGCAAACAGG